rnacentral:snRNA from 1 species
GGAUGUGAGGACGAUCUGGCUGCGACAUCUGUCACCCCAUUGAUCACCAGGGUUGAUUCGGCUGAUCUGGCUGGCUAGGCGGGUGACCCCUUCCUCCCUCACCGCUCUCCAUGUGCGUCCCUCCCGAAGCCGAGCGCUCUGUUGUAGAGGAUGACCUUCCCCGAAUAGAGGAGGACCGGUCUUCGGUCAAGGGUAUACGAGUAGCUGUGCUCCCCUGCUAGAACCUCCAAACAAGCUCUCAGGGUCCAUUUGUCCUUUUUCCACAGUAUUUUGUCCCCCCCAAAAAUGAGAUUAGGGCAUUUCUUGCCCACUGGC